rnacentral:rRNA from 1 species
UGGGGAAUAUUGGACAAUGGGCGAAAGCCUGAUCCAGCCAUGCCGCGUGUGUGAAGAAGGUCUUCGGAUUGUAAAGCACUUUAAGUUGGGAGGAAGGGCAGUAAGCGAAUACCUUGCUGUUUUGACGUUACCGACAGAAUAAGCACCGGCUAACUCUGUGCCAGCAGCCGCGGUAAUACAGAGGGUGCAAGCGUUAAUCGGAAUUACUGGGCGUAAAGCGCGCGUAGGUGGUUCGUUAAGUUGAAUGUGAAAGCCCCGGGCUCAACCUUGGAACUGCAUCCAAAACUGACGAGCUAGAGUAGUGCAGAGGGAGGUGAAAUUUCCUGUGUAGCUGUGAAAUGCAUAAAUAUAGAAAGGAACACCAGUGGCGAAGGCGACCACCUGGGCUCAUACUGACACUGAGGUGCGAAAGCGUGGGGAGCCAACAGG